rnacentral:misc_RNA from 1 species
UUUCCGUAGGUGAACCUGCGGAAGGAUCAUUCAUAAUAAAGUGUUUUAUGGCACUUUUUAAAAAUCCAUAUCCACCUUGUGUGCAAUGUUAGAUCUCGUCAAUCUUGGCGAGAUUUUUAUACAUCAACUCGUUCUUUAACUACUUUGUCUGAAAAAUAUUAUGAAUACUUAAUUCAAAAUACAACUUUCAACAACGGAUCUCUUGGCUCUC